CCUACGGGUGGCAGCAGUCGAGAAUCAUUCACAAUGGGGGAAACCCUGAUGGUGCGACGCCGCGUGGGGGAAUGAAGGUCUUCGGAUUGUAAACCCCUGUCAUGUGGGAGCAAAUUAAAAAGAUAGUACCACAAGAGGAAGAGACGGAUAACUCUGUGCCAGCAGCCGCGGUAAAACAGAGGUCUCAAGCGUUGUUCGGAAUCACUGGGGGGAAAGCGUGCGUAGGAUGUUUCGUAAUUCGUGUGUGAAAGGCGCGGGCUCAACCCGCGGACGGCACAUGAUACUGCGAGACUAGAGUAAUGGAGGGGGAACCGGAAUUCUCGGUGUAGCAGGGAAAUGCGUAGAUAUCGAGAGGAACACUCGUGGCGAAGGCGGGUUCCUGGACAUUAACUGACGCUGAGGCACGAAGGCCAGGGGAGCGAAAGGGAUUAGAUACCCCAGUAGUC
rnacentral:rRNA from 1 species